UACGGAGGGGGCUAGCGUUGUUCGGAAUUACUGGGCGUAAAGCGCACGUAGGCGGCUUUGUAAGUUAGAGGUGAAAGCCCAGGGCUUAACCCUGGAAUUGCCUUUAAGACUGCAUCGCUAGAAUCGUGGAGAGGUGAGUGGAAUUCCGAGUGUAGAGGUGAAAUUCGUAGAUAUUCGGAAGAACACCAGUGGCGAAGGCGACUCACUGGCUCGUAACUGACGCUCAGGCGCGACAGCGUGGGGAUCAAACAGG
rnacentral:rRNA from 1 species